rnacentral:rRNA from 1 species
UACGAAGGGGGCUAGCGUUGCUCGGAAUCACUGGGCGUAAAGCGCACGUAGGCGGCUUUCUAAGUCAGGGGUGAAAUCCUGGAGCUCAACUCCAGAACUGCCUUUGAUACUGGAGAGCUUGAGUCCGGGAGAGGUGAGUGGAACUCCGAGUGUAGAGGUGAAAUUCGUAGAUAUUCGGAAGAACACCAGUGGCGAAGGCGGCUCACUGGCCCGGUACUGACGCUGAUGUGCGAA